AACGCUGGCGGCGUGCCUAAUACAUGCAAGUAGAACGCUGAAGAGAGGAGCUUGCUCUUCUUGGAUGAGUUGCGAACGGGUGAGUAACGCGUAGGUAACCUGCCUUGUAGCGGGGGAUAACUAUUGGAAACGAUAGCUAAUACCGCAUAACAAUGGAUGACACAUGUCAUUUAUUUGAAAGGGGCAAUUGCUCCACUACAAGAUGGACCUGCGUUGUAUUAGCUAGUAGGUGAGGUAACGGCUCACCUAGGCGACGAUACAUAGCCGACCUGAGAGGGUGAUCGGCCACACUGGGACUGAGACACGGCCCAGACUCCUACGGGAGGCAGCAGUAGGGAAUCUUCGGCAAUGGGGGCAACCCUGACCGAGCAACGCCGCGUGAGUGAAGAAGGUUUUCGGAUCGUAAAGCUCUGUUGUAAGUCAAGAACGAGUGUGAGAGUGGAAAGUUCACACUGUGACGGUAGCUUACCAGAAAGGGACGGCUAACUACGUGCCAGCAGCCGCGGUAAUACGUAGGUCCCGAGCGUUGUCCGGAUUUAUUGGGCGUAAAGCGAGCGCAGGCGGUUUGAUAAGUCUGAAGUUAAAGGCUGUGGCUCAACCACAGUUCGCUUUGGAAACUGUCAAACUUGAGUGCAGAAGGGGAGAGUGGAAUUCCAUGUGUAGCGGUGAAAUGCGUAGAUAUAUGGAGGAACACCGGUGGCGAAAGCGGCUCUCUGGUCUGUAACUGACGCUGAGGCUCGAAAGCGUGGGGAGCGAACAGGAUUAGAUACCCUGGUAGUCCACGCCGUAAACGAUGAGUGCUAGGUGUUGGAUCCUUUCCGGGAUUCAGUGCCGCAGCUAACGCAUUAAGCACUUCGCUUGGGGAGUACGACCGCAAGGUUGAAACUCAAAGGAAUUGACGGGGGUCCGCUCAAGCGGUGGAGCAUGUGGUUUAAUUCGAAGCAACGUGAAGAACCUUACCAGGUCUUGACAUCCCGAUGCUAUUUCUAGAGAUAGAAAGUUACUUCGGUACAUCGGUGACAGGUGGUGCAUGGUUGUCGUCAGCUCGUGUCGUGAGAUGUUGGGUUAAGUCCCGCAAUGAGCGCAACCCCUAUUGUUAGUUGCCAUCAUUCAGUUGGGCACUCUAGCGAGACUGCCGGUAAUAAACCGGAGGAAGGUGGGGAUGACGUCAAAUCAUCAUGCCCCUUAUGACCUGGGCUACUCUCGUGCUACAAUGGUUGGUACAACGAGUUGCGAGUCGGUGACGGCAAGCUAAUCUCUUAAAGCCUAUCUCAGUUCGGAUUGUAGGCUGCAACUCGCUUACUUGAAGUCGGAAUCGCUAGUAAUCGCGGAUCAGCUCUCCGCGGUGAAUACGUUCCC
rnacentral:rRNA from 1 species